rnacentral:lncRNA from 1 species
UCUUUUAAGUGAGUUCGAAAUUUUUCAAUUUUUUUGUACUUCUUGUCAAUUUAAUUAUUAAGAGGUGUGUAAAUUUUAAGUUAAAAUUAAUAGUUCAUUCAUUAGUUAUUGAGGUUUAAAUCUAUUGUAGGAAUUACUUAGAAUUGAUUAGGAUUUGCUUAGGAUUUGAUUAGGAUUUAAGAUUUGUUUUAGGAUUAGAAUUAGGAUUUGGAUUUGAUUUAAGGUUUUUUUAGGUUUAAGAUUUGACUAAGAUUUGUCCAAGGUUAGAAUAGAAUUUAUUUAGGAUUUGAUUAGAAUUUGAUUAGGAUUUAUAUAAGAUUUGAUCAAGUCCAAUUAGAAUUUGUCUAAGAUUUGACUAGGAUUUAUUUAGGUUUUGAUUAGGAUUUGGUUAAGAUUUGUUUAGAAUUUGAUUAGGAUUUGACUAGGAUUUUAUUAGGAUUUAUUUAGGAUUUGUUUAGGAUUUGAUUAGUGUUUGACUAAGAUUUGUCCAGAGUUUGGUUAGGGUUUAUUUAGAAUUUGACUAAGAUUCGAUAAGAAUUUGACCAAUAUUUGACUAAAUUUUGACUAAGAUUUAAUUAAGGUUUUUAUUUUAAUAUUUUAUUAAUA